AAAGAAACAAUGAAUGGAAGACAAGUAGCCUGUUGCUCAAAACAUAUGGGUAGAUCAUCAUCCUGGUGGUGGGCAUUGGUUUGCUGCGGGUCUCUCUCCUAAUAUUCCAGGCAGAAACAGGGUCUCCAUGCAUAGCAGCCCACAUUUUCAGGAUUGAAGGAGCGGUGAGUCUUCGUUAUCCCAUCAUCAUAUCAGAUUUUAG